rnacentral:rRNA from 1 species
GUGUGAUCGGGCAAGGGCACACGGUGGAUGUCUUGGUGUCGAGAGGCGAUGAAGGACGUUGGAACCUGCGAAAAGUCCAAGGGAGCCGGUAACCAGGCUGCGAUCUUGGAAUGUCCGAAUGGGGCAACCCACCCGCAAGGGUACUUCACUCUGAAUGCAUAGGGGUGAAGAGCGAACGCGCUGAACUGAAACAUCUCAGUAGGCGCAGGAAAAGAAAGCAACAGCGAUUCCGUGAGUAGCGGCGAGCGAAAGCGGACAAGCCAGAUGACUCGUGAAGCGUUUGAAUGACGCGCCGCAGAAGGUGAAAGCCCUGUAACAGAAGUCUGGUGAGCCCAUAGAUUAAACUCGGUCUCGUGAAACCCGGGUUGAAGAUGGGGGGUCCACCCUCCAAGGCUAAAUACUCCUCGACAACCGAUAGCGAAUCAGUAAGGCGACUGAACGAUGAAAAGCACCGCGAUGAGCGGGGUGAAAGAGUACCUGAAACCGUGUGCUUACAAGCGGUCGGAGCCCUGCGGGGUGACGGCGUGCUUUUUGCAUAAUGAGCCGGCGAGUUAGCCUGUACGGCGAGCCUAAGGCCUAUCGGGCCGGAGGCGGAGCGAAAGCGAGUCCGAAAUGGGCGCCGAGUCGUACGGGCUAGACGCGAAACCUUGUGAUCUACCGUUGGUCAGACUGAAGGGCGGGUAACACCGCCUGGAGGGUCGAACUCGUGACCGUUGAAAAGGUCUGGGAUGAACUGACGGGAGGACUCAAAGUGUAAUCAAACUGGGAGAUAGCUCGUUCUCUCCGAAAUAACUUUAGGGUUAGCCUCAGGUAUCAGCGAUUGGGGGUAGAGCGACUGGAUGGUUGUAGGGGCCUACCCGGCUACCUCGACCAACCAAACUCCGAAUACCAAUUGUGUAGACCUGGGAGAUAGACGGCGAGUGACAAUAUCCGUCGUCAAAAGGAGAACAAUCCAGAUCACCAGCUAAGGUCCCGAAUCUCUGCUCAGUUCGAAAGGAAGUUGGAUUGCUGAGACAUCCAGGAUGUUGGCUUAGAAGCAGCCAUCAUUUAAAGAGUGCGUAACAGCUCACUGGACGAGGAAUCCAGCGCCGAUAAUGAUCGGGAAUAAGCAGAGAACCGAAGCUGUGGGCCUCGUAAGAGGCGGUAGGAGAGCGUUGCUGCGGCGGCGAAGCGAAUCGGGAACGGUCCGUGGAGCCUCAGCAAGUGAAUAUGCCGGCUUGAGUAACGAUUAAACGGGUGAGAAUCCCGUUCGCCAUAUGCCCAAGGUUUCCUGGGGAAGGGAAUUCCGCCCAGGGUUAGCCGGGUCCUAAGGCGAGGCCGAAAGGCGUAGUCGAUGGACAUGGGGUUAAUAGUCCCCAGCACGUGCAGAGAUCAAACCGUGGUUCGAAUUCUCGAGUUUGGCGGGGUCGCUAGCUGCGCCCAGGUCCUUGAGGCCGAUGCCAGACAACGGAGUUCCUAGAAAAGCCACGGGGGCAAAGCACGUCCCGUACCAAAACUGACACAGGUGGGCGAGGCGAAUAGCCUAAGGCGCUCGAGAGAACGGUCGUGAAGGAACUAGGCAAAUUGACCCCGUAAGUUCGCGAUAAGGGGGCCCUCCCUCGUAAGAGAAGGGCGCAGAGAAAAGGCUCUGGGAACUGUUUAUCAAAAACACAGCUCUGUGCGAAGACGCAAGUCGAAGCAUACAGAGUGACGCUUGCCCAAUACCGGAAUGUCAAGGAAGUGGCUCAUCGCAAGAGAAGGUCAUGACCGAAGCACCGGAGAAUGGCGGCCGUAACUCUGACGGUCCUAAGGUAGCGAAGUUCCUUGUCGGGUAAGUUCCGACGCGCAUGAAUAGCGUAAUCACUGGAGCACUGUCUCCACGACCGACUCGGUGAAAUAGUAGUGGCGGUGAAGAUGCCGCCUACCCGCAGCAAGACGGAAAGACCCCGUGGACCUUCACUAUAGGCUCGUAUUGGCCACGAGCAUAAACUGCGUAGCAUAGGUGGGAGGCGUUGAUGUCCGGGUUCCGGCCCGGAUGGAGUCACAGGUGAAAUACCACCCUGUUUAAGUUUGUGGCCUAACUUCGUGUCCCGUGAAUCCGGGCGAAGGACAGUGCGUGUCGGGUAGUUUGACUGGGGCGGUCUCCUCCAAAAAGGUAACGGAGGAGUGCAAAGGUCGGCUCAGCACGGAUGGAAACCGUGUGUCGAGUGCAAGAGCACAAGCCGGCUUUACUGCGAGACCGACGGGUCGAGCAGUCACGAAAGUGGGCUCUAGUGAUCCUGCGAUCCCGUGUGGAAGGGUCGUAGCUCAUCGGAUAAAAGGUACCCCGGGGAUAACAGGCUGAUCGCUCCCGAGCGUCCAUAGCGGCGGAGCGGUUUGGCACCUCGAUGUCGGCUCAUCACAUCCUGGGACUGAAGGCGGCCCCAAGGGUUCGGCUGUUCGCCGAUUAAAGUGGUACGCGAGCUGGGUUCAGACCGGCGUGAGCCAGGUCGGUCCCUAUCUGUUGUGGGCGUUGCAAGUUUGAGUGGCCUCAACCGUAGUACGAGAGGACUCGGUUGGACGGACCCCUGGUGAUCCAGUUGCACCGCUUGGUGCACCGCUGGGUAGCUACGUCCGGCAGGGAUAACCGCUGAAAGCAUCUAAGCGGGAAGCCUCCCACAAGAUCAUACUUGCUUGUCUUUGACGUGAGACCCCUGGAAGACCACCAGGUUGAUAGGCCGCGCGUGUAAGGGCUGAGAGGCCUUCAGCGGAGCGGUACUAACGGUCGAACCGAUCACACCA